AAAUAUGUCUAGAGUCCGAUAGAGUACUAGUACCGUGAGGGAAAGUUGAAAAGAUCCCGUGAUAGGGAGUGAAAAGAACCUGAAACCUUACAAGGAUAGAAAGAUACUGCUCUGAGGAGUUGUAUCGUACGUUUCGAAUAACGUGCCAGGGAGUUUAUCUUUGUGGCAAGGUUAACUUAUUAAGAAGGUAACCAAAGCGAAAGCAAUUAGCCCGCAAGUAAUGAGGGGCAGGGUAUGAAAAUGCCUGUAGUCACAAGGAUAAGACCCGAAACCGGUCGAUCUAAUCCUGAGCAAGGUGAAGCGGGGGUAAAACCUCGUGGAGGCCUGCAGAGAUACUGUGUGCAAGCGUUCUUCUGACUUGGGAUUAGGGGUGAAAAGCCAAUCGAGACCGGUGAUAGCUGGUUCCUGCCGAAGUUGGCCGUAGUCAAGCCUUGACUGAGACCAUUGGUCUUGUAGAGAUACGGAUUUGGGAUUUAGGGGAAGAAAUUCCUCGGUUUCUUGUCCAACUCCAAAUGGAUCCAAUGUCGUAGAAGUCAGGAGACGGGGCUUUGGGGUAAGCUCAAAGUCCGAGAGGGGAACAACCCAGACUUAGUUAAGGUCCCUAAAUAUUGAUUAAGUGUUAACGGUUAAAAGGUGUCUGUGUCCUGAGACAGUGGGGAGGUUGGCUUAGAAGCAGCCAUCCUUUAAAAAGUGCGUAACAGCUUACCCAUCAAGGACGCGGGUCCUGAAAAUGGACGGGGCUAAAUCAAUUACCGAUACUAUAGGCAGCUCAAAAAGCUGUGAUAGGCAGGCAUCCUGCUUGGAUAGAAUUUUUCGCGUGAGCGAGAGAGGACCGAGUAGGAAAGAAGAUCCUGGUGAAAGUAAGAUCUUAGCAGAGUGAGAAACUCUGUCACCGAAAGGGCAAGGGUUCCUUGGCAAUGUAUAUCAGCCAAGGGUUAGUCGGUCCUAAUCAAGCUCCUAAUUGGAGUGUAUAAAGAAAGGGAAACAGGUUAAUAUUCCUGUACUUUUUAGGUAUGUGCGGCAACGCAGGGUGUAUUUCUGAAGCUUUUGGCUAAGUAGGCAUGAAUUUUCUUUCAUGUUAAUCUUGAUAGGUCAGGGAAGUAUUGUAAUGAUGAGAACCUGAGCAAAAUGAAAAUAGUCUGGUUAUGCCAGAUCCUACUGAUGCCUGGAGUCCGUGAAAAAGGAAUACACAAAAAUCCUAAAUUUACCGUACCCAGAACCAGCACUGGUGCCCCUAGGUUAGUAGCCUAAGGUGUGAAGGUUUAAUCUAGUUAAGGGAACUCGGCAAAUUAGUCCUGUGUCUUCGGAAUAAAGGAUCCCUGCACUUGUGCGUUUUUGCGUGGCAAGUUCAGGGGGCACUAACUAAGAUGGCCCGACUGUUUAACAAAAACUUAACUGGCUGCUAAGCUGUAAAGCUGUGUAUAGCCAGUGACGUCUGCCCAGUGCCGGUAUCCGAAACUCUUUUUCAAGAGGGAUAAGGACCGGUAAACGGCGGGAGUAACUAUAACUCUCUUAAGGUAGCGUAAUGCCUUGUCGUUUGAAUGGCGACGUGCAUGAAGGGCGUAACGAGGUUGUCACUGUCCCUAACUAGAAACCUCCGAACACUCUAUUCUGGUGCGAAGGCCAGAGACCUCCAGUGGGAAGCGAAGACCCCGUGAAACUUUACUGUAGCUUGUAAUUGUAACGUGAGUUGUAAUAUAUAGAGUACGUGGGAGCUGUUUGAAGGUACAGUCGUUAGAUCGUACCUUAGGCGAAGAUGUAACACCACGUAUUAUGCCUUGCGUUGCUUACCUUGAAAAAGGAACACUUACUGGUAGACAGUUCGGCUGGGGCGGCACGCCGUUGAAAAGAUAUCAAUGGCGCCCUAAGGUUGAUUCAGACCGGUCAGAAAUCGGUUGUAGAGUGCAAGGGCAUAAGUCAGCCUGACUGUAUCUUUAAUAUGAUGAGAUGCAGAUGCGAAAGCAGGGCCUAGCGAACCCCCGUGCCUUCUUGAUGAGGGCCGGGUAUGACCGAAAAGUUACUCCGGGGGUAAUGGAGUUGUCGCGCCCGAGAGUUCAUAUCGACGGCGCGGUUUGCUGCGUCGAUGUCGGCUCUUCCUAUCCUGGCGGUGCAGCAGCUGCCAAGGGUGAGGGAGUUCACCUAUUAAAAGGGAUCGUUAGCUGGGUUCACAACGCUGUGAGGCAGUUGGUUUGAUAUCUACUGGAGGUGUUAGAGGUCUGAUGGGAAGGAAGCAAUAGUACGAGAGGAACUUGCUUUCGGCGCCUCUGGUCUACCUGUUAUCCGAUAGGGUAUUACGCAGGGCAGCUACGCGCUAAGGAAUAAAUCCUGAAAGCAUCUAAGGAUGAAGUCCGCCUAGAAAAGAGACCUCUUAGGAUUCAGAUAAAAGAUCUGUUUGAUAGAACUGGUGUGUAAG
rnacentral:rRNA from 1 species